rnacentral:tRNA from 2 species
GGGGGUGUAGCUCAGUGGUAGAGCGCGCGCUUCGCAUGCGCGAGGCCCCGGGUUCAAUCCCCGGCACCUCCA